AGAAAGUAAACUAUUCUAAAAAGUAAGGGCCGUGAUCUUUUCAACUUGAGUGAUGUUCUUCUUGCCUUCACAGCAUAGUGAAAUGAAAUGGAAACUUCCUUGACAGAAAGCACAGAUGGUACACACCGGCCAAAAGACAAACCUGAAACAUCUUAUUCCAAUGAAGAAGUUGCUAUCGUAUCCUGAUGUGAAUGAAGUGACAGUUUUCAGCUUCCUGAAUCUAACGAUGGUUUUCUCUUUUCUUUGUAAUUCCCAGUGCUGUUGGAAGAACAGAGUUCCUGAAGGAUCGGAGGUGAUUCUACUGGCCUUACUGGUGAGGACUCAGAUGUUUAAUACUGGACUCUCUAUAUUUGUUGCGCCCACAAUGGACAAAUUGGCACAGGAUUUUCUGAGUGUUGCUGCAUUAAAAGCAAUAGGACAAAUCUAUUCACUGGCAAAGGAUCAGGCAAACUACUUCAGAAAGAACAAGUUCUAGGCUUCAAGAUAUGAUUUUUCCUGCUUUGAACGUGAGCCGCCUGUGUGGACUUGAAAAGAGAGAGGGAAUGUCCAUAAACUUUAAUGGUAUCAUUGAGAGUGAUCUGGCAUGAGUGGUGUCAUACCUGGGGAUGAGCCAUCGCACGUCCUCUACAAUCCAUCUUACAGGUAAUGGUUAUCUGAGAAAUUCCAGAAGAUCUUCCUGUAUAUCAUUAGUCCCCUCUGAAAGUAAGAUGAAUUGGAGGUAUUUAAGGAGAGUAGCUCAAGACUAGACAGGUUCAAGUUAGUAAAGAAGACAAAGUCCCAGUUCCUCACAUCCAAGCAGUUUUCCCAGCCAACCAACAUGCUGCAGUAACAGAAAAUCAAGGAAAGCUUUCCUUUGUCAUUGCUUUUACAAGUGUCUUAAAGUGAUUGACAACAUUCAUAUUCUCAUUAUGGCAUCUGCAGAUAAUGAGGUAUCUUGACACAGGAAUAUCCACUGCUUAAGCAUGGCAGGAAUAUUAUCACUGACGUUUGAGCAGAAACAUUGCAAAUCCACACAAUACCUAUACAUCUUAGAAACGUUAAAUGCAGCCAGAUGCUGGAGCCAUGGCUGCUAAAAUCACAUGGGUUAGCUGGUAUCUCUUGAAAUAAUUAUUAAGGAUGUAAGGUAUCUGUUUAGCCAGUCAGGAUUAUAGAUUUUAAUUUGACAGAUAAGAGCAGAUUCCCCACAGAAUUUGAACACUUUCCCUCUUUUCUCUUUCAGAAAUCUUCAUGGUAUUCUAUAAACAAGGCUCAAAAACAUCUCAAGGGAUGUGAAGAAGGACUUUCUGAGCAAAAGGAAGGGCAAUAUGCUACCUGCUGGGAUCACAUGCUGGCACAGACACAGGGGCUCUCAGUGAAACAAGUUGCUCUUACUCACCCAGGGUAUAUGUUCUGACUAGAUGAGAGAUUUACACCAAAUAACCAAUGGUGAGAUGUAGGAAAUGCAUGUCUUUCUCCUUUCACAGCUGGAGGGAGCACUGCCAACACCACCUCCUUGGGUUAUGUGAGAGGCUGAUGCUGGGACUUGUGUCUUUACUAGCUACUUGUCUUUGAGCACACAUCUGGACUUGGAACAGAAAGGAAACAUUCAAUGUCCUUAAGAGGAACAGAUGUCCUAAGCAUGAAAGCAAGCAAGCAGGACUUAGCAUGUAUAACAGUGAGAAAGGACAUCUCUGAACAUACUUGUAAUGUCUUUGGACAGUACAGGUGCUUUUCCCCCAUACCCUACUUCUACUGUUUGAUCUGUGUCCCAGCUAAAAGCACAAGAAAAAAGCUAGUCAUCAACUAAUAUAAUUUCUGCUGCUGAAAUAUCCACCAUGGCAUUGUAGUUAUACAGCCUGCUUGGUGAGUACCCAUGAACAAACACAGGAAGAUUUGCAGAGGACCUUCAUACAAAGCUAGAAAAAAGGAUGCAUAGAGUCAUAUAAUGAACUCAUUAAUACUUCUCCUUUCUAGAAAAAUAAUUUCUCCAGUUCAAUAGCAAAACUUCAGUCAAAUGCCCCGUAAAGAUGAGGUGCUUAAAAAAAUCACCAUGGACUAAAGAAGAGAUAGUUAAGAGCUCAGACUGACUGAUCACUACUCCUUGGUGUCACUCAUAAGCUAAACUACAGCAGGUGUACUGAGAUGAAAACAUACACUAAUGCUUUGGAUUAGGCUUUGUACCCUCUAACUCUUAAAAAAAAAAAAGUUCUAAAAAGAUAUAAAUAAAUUCUAAAAAUUCUAAAUGUUUCCUAAACA
ensembl:lncRNA